CUUCUGCUUGCCUCCUCUCUGAAUAGCAAAACAAGAAAUUAGACACAAAGUAAAAAAUAAAAAAAUAAUGUGUGAUUUUGUCCUGAACAUAUGGAGGACAUCCUAUAAAGUAAUAAAGGAAAAGUUCCACGUGAUAACUUAUACAUGGAGUUCAAGUUAUACACCAAUUGAAAAACAAGAGUUGAAGAUAAUUGUUCACAGAAAUAAGGCAAAAAUUCUGUUUUAUAGUUUAAGAAAGAACCAGGCAUUAUAUCAGCUACAAUUUAUUCUAUUCAUGUGGCAUUGAGAAAGAUCUCACGUUCUGAUGCAUAGAAAAAUAGGGGGCCCAAAAAAUAGAAAAGAAAUUCUUCAAUCAACUAUCAGGGGUAUAAUUGGAAAGAAUGGAAACUUAUCACAUAUAUGAGCAUCCCAUCAAACAAACAGAAAACUCCAUCAGCAACGUAAGCCAUACAAAAUUUCAGUUUCAUUUUUUAUUUAAUUUUUCGGCAUUGCAACAAUUCUCACCAAUUUAUACUAGGGCAUACAAUAGACAACUUUACGCCAUAUGCUCAAGAGCCAUAUAGAAAUUGGGGAUUAGCCAAAUCAAUAUCUCAAGAUUGAUCACAACAGAUAUGUAUGUGGUAUAAAAAAAUUCCAUAGUUUGAAAGAAAAAAGAGAAACGAACCCAAUGGAUGUUCCAGCUUGAAGGAGCUUUUAGCCAUGGCUACAGUCGACCUUCGAUUACAGCUCUCUGCGAAUAUCAAACAUGAAAACAUCACAACCCCACAAAUUCAGAAAUCUCCUCCAACCAAAGACCAUAAAACAAAAGGGGAAAAAAAAGAAAAAAGAAAAAAAGCACUGCUUCUAUACCGGAAGAAGCAACAAACACAAGAAGACAAACACAGUUUGAAAUUUUAUAACAUACCCAACACGAAAAAAGAGAAUUAGAUGGCGAAAUUAUGGUUUCAAAGAGAAUUGAUUGAUUGAUCCCAUCGGUCGUUAUGACAUAGAACGACCCAAAAAGUCGACAUCAGAGAGACAAUUAUUGGGUGUUUAAAAAGAAAAAAUUAAUCUUCAAUUGAAGAGAAAGGAAACUUAUCAGAGAUUCAUUCUGAUUCCAACACGAAACCUAAUACGUAUACGACUUUCAAUUCUAAUGCAACUCAC
rnacentral:misc_RNA from 1 species